rnacentral:misc_RNA from 1 species
AACACUGUUAACCUGCGGUACCUGCGGAGGGAUCAUUAAAAAAAAUGAUGAAUGUCUGGGGGGCGUUUGGAUCUGUGUCCUUCGCUCCCCUGUGUAUUCAACCAACCCGCUCUUGUAUUUGGAUCAACCAAAAAUCUAAAAAACAAAAAUUAUAAUUAAUAAAAAAUAAACUUUUAGCAACGGAUCU